UACAGAGGGUGCGAGCGUUGUUCGGAAUUAUUGGGCGUAAAGGGCGCGUAGGCGGUGCGGUAAGUCACCUGUGAAAUCUCCUGGCUCAACUGGGAGCUUGCAGGCGAAACUGCCGUGCUGGAGUGUGGGAGAGGUGCGUGGAAUUCCCGGUGUAGCGGUGAAAUGCGUAGAGAUCAUGAGGAAGACCAGUGGCGAAGGCGGGUCUCUGGACAGUUCCUGACACUGAGACACGAAGGCCAGGGGAGCAAACGGG
rnacentral:rRNA from 1 species